UACCAGCUCUCCGAGUGGUAGGGAUGAUUAUUGGGCUUAAAGCGUCCGUAGCCGGCUUAGCAAGUUUCCUGUUAAACUCAGCGACCUAAUCGUUGAAUCGCGGGAAAUACUACUAGGCUAAGAGGCGGGAGAGGUCGACGGUACUUCUGGGGUAGGGGUGAAAUCCUAUAAUCCCGGGAGGACCACCAGUGGCGAAGGCUGUCGACUAGAACGCGCUCGACGGUGAGGGACGAAAGCUGGGGGUAGCGAACCGGAUUAGAUACCCGGGUAGUCCCAGCUGUAAACGAUGCGGGCUAGGUGUUGGGAUGGCUACGUGCCAUUUCAGUGCCGCAGGGAAGCCAUUAAGCCCGCCGCCUGGGGAGUACGGCCGCAAGGCUGAAACUUAAAGGAAUUGGCGGGGAGCACCACAAGGCGUGAAGCUUGCGGUUC
rnacentral:rRNA from 1 species